CCUACGGGAGGCAGCAGUGAGGAAUAUUGGUCAAUGGGCGGGAGCCUGAACCAGCCAAGCCGCGUGAGGGAAGAAGGUACAGCGUAUCGUAAACCUCUUUUGUCAGGGAACAAAGGCGGGGACUAGUCCCCGGAUGAGGGUACCUGAAGAAAAAGCAUCGGCUAACUCCGUGCCAGCAGCCGCGGUAAUACGGAGGAUGCGAGCGUUAUCCGGAUUUAGUGGGUUUAAAGGGUGCGCAGGCGGCCUGUUAAGUCAGCGGUAAAAGCCCGGGGCUCAACCCCGGCGAGCCGUUGAAACUGGCGGGCUGGAGUUGGAGAGAAGUACGCGGAAUGCGCGGUGUAGCGGUGAAAUGCUUAGAUAUCGGGAGGAACACCGGCGGCGAAGGCGGCCUGCUGGACCGCGACUGACGUUGAGGCUCGAAAGCGUGGGUAGCAAACAGGAUUAGAUACCCUUGUAGUC
rnacentral:rRNA from 1 species